GGUCCUGAAGACUUCAUUUAAGACGCAGGAUCCAGCCUUGCUUGAUGUCAUUACUCCUAGACUUUCACAUACAAGAGCCAAAAAAUUGUCUUUUCUUCCCCCUUAACCCAGGGCUCCUGCAACCAAAAGAACACUUGACUGUGGCAUCUUUCCAGCCUCCUGGAUAUGCCACGAUGUUUGUAACAUGGAGCUAACUUUGCAGUUGCCAACCUAGAGUGGAGUUUCUCCUGGAAGCUAGGUAAGGUGCCCCCAUGGCAAGACGCUGUGGGCAGCCUCAAGAAACUGGGUGGCCUCUUAGGACCUGAGGGCAGCCUCCAACAAGGAAGCAGCAAACCUCUGGGGCCUUCUGUUCUACAACUGCAAGGAAGUAAAUUCUGCCAACAACCUGAAUGAGCACGGAGGUGAACUCUUCCUCAGUCGAGCCCCUGGAUAAGAACACAGUUCAACUCAUGCCUUGAUUGCAGCCUGUAAGAGUCUGAGAAGAGGACCAGGUAAGUGGUGCCCAGACUCCUGCCAAGGGAAACUGUGAUAUGUGUGUGGUUUUCAGCCACUGAUUUUGUGGUCACUUGUUAUGCAGCAAUAGAAAACCAAACCAACAGACUUUGAAGAAUGAAAGACUUGGGUUUGAUUUCUGCUCCACUUACCAAUUGUGUGACCUUGCGUGAGUCACAUCACCACUCUGAGCUCCAGUUUUUUCGUCUACAAAUGGGUGCAGACUUGGGAGAAUUAGAGAUAAUAAAUAGAGAGCACCUAACAUGGGGCCUGGCACAGAGUAGGUGCUCAAUAAAUAGUAGUUAAG